GAGUAAAGGUACCUUUUCUUGGCUGAUCCCUUUCGCUGUAUGGCAUGCUCGUUUGGGUUGGGCGUCGGCUAAGAGUGCUCGGAGCGUGGAUUAACUCCAGUCUCCUAUCAGGUAAUCCCUAAGCUUAGAUGGUUUGGAGCUAUGAGGGACUCGGAGAUGGCCACACUACUGUUUCUAUUUCUUUUAAUUGCAAUAAGUAGCCGAUUUAUUUCUUUUUAAGUUUUAUCUUAUUAAUAUUAUUAUUUGGUUUUGGCUUGUAAUAAGGCCAUUUUAAUUAUUUUUCUGGGAUUAUUUUAUCUUAUA